rnacentral:ncRNA from 1 species
AUUGUUUAAUCACCGGAUUAAGCAAAUAGAAGUGUCUAAAACAUAUUCCGUAGGUCUUAGAAGGAAUGUGAUUUUAGGCACUUUUUUGU